AUUGAACGCUGGCGGCAGGCCUAACACAUGCAAGUCGAGCGGAUGAAGGGAGCUUGCUCCUGGAUUCAGCGGCGGACGGGUGAGUAAUGCCUAGGAAUCUGCCUGGUAGUGGGGGAUAACGUCCGGAAACGGGCGCUAAUACCGCAUACGUCCUGAGGGAGAAAGUGGGGGAUCUUCGGACCUCACGCUAUCAGAUGAGCCUAGGUCGGAUUAGCUAGUUGGUGGGGUAAAGGCCUACCAAGGCGACGAUCCGUAACUGGUCUGAGAGGAUGAUCAGUCACACUGGAACUGAGACACGGUCCAGACUCCUACGGGAGGCAGCAGUGGGGACUAUUGGACAAUGGGCGAAAGCCUGAUCCAGCCAUGCCGCGUGUGUGAAGAAGGUCUUCGGAUUGUAAAGCACUUUAAGUUGGGAGGAAGGGCAGUAAGUUAAUACCUUGCUGUUUUGACGUUACCAACAGAAUAAGCACCGGCUAACUUCGUG
rnacentral:rRNA from 1 species